CAGGCCUAACACAUGCAAGUCGAACGCCCCGCAAGGGGAGUGGCAGACGGGUGAGUAACACGUGGGAACAUACCCUUCGGUUCGGAACAACGUUUGGAAACGGACGCUAAUACCGGAUACGCCCUAUUGGGGAAAGGCUUGCUGCCGAAGGAUUGGCCCGCGUUCGAUUAGCUAGAUGGCGGGGUAACGGCCCACCAUGGCGACGAUCGAUAGCUGGUCUGAGAGGAUGGCCAGCCACAUUGGGACUGAGACACGGCCCAAACUCCUACGGGAGGCAGCAGUGGGGAAUAUUGGACAAUGGGCGCAAGCCUGAUCCAGCCAUGCCGCGUGAGUGAUGACGGCCUUAGGGUUGUAAAGCUCUUUCGCACGCGACGAUAAUGACGGUAGCGUGAGAAGAAGCCCCGGCUAACUUCGUGCCAGCAGCCGCGGUAAU
rnacentral:rRNA from 1 species